rnacentral:rRNA from 1 species
GACGAACCGUGCAAACGUUGUUCGGAAUCACUGGGCUUAAAGGGCGCGUAGGCGGCUUAUCAAGUCGGGGGAUGAAAUACUUCAGCUUAACUGGAGAAGUGCCUUCGAUACUGGUGGGCUUGAGGGAGGUAGGGGUCUGUGGAACUUCUGGUGGAGCGGUGAAAUGCGUUGAUAUCAGAAGGAACGCCGGUGGCGAAAGCGACGGACUGGACCUCUUCUGACGCUGAGGCGCGAAAGCUAGGGGAGCAAACGGG